rnacentral:rRNA from 1 species
CAGCCGCCGCGGUAAUACCGGCGGCCCGAGUGGCGGCCACUAUUAUUGGGCUUAAAGCGUCCGUAGCCGGGUUGGUUAGUCUCCCGGGAAAUCUGGCCGCUUAACGGUCAGAAUUCCGGGAGAUACUGCCAGCCUAGGGACUGGGAGAGGCCGAGGGUAUUCCCGGAGUAGGGGUGAAAUCCUAUAAUCCCGGGAGGACCACCUGUGGCGAAGGCGCUCGGCUGGAACGGGUCCGACGGUGAGGGACGAAGGCCAGGGGAGCAAACCGGAUUAGAUACCCGGGUAGUCCUGGCUGUAAACGAUGCGGACUUUGUGUCGGACAAGCUAUGAGCUUGUCCGGUGCCGGAGGGAAACCGUUAAGUCCGCCGCCUGGGGAGUACGGCCGCAAGGCUGAAACUUAAAGGAAUUGGCGGG